CACCCUCAAACAAGAGAAAACAAAAUCUCAAACCCCGUUGCUCACCGUUUCCAGGAAAUGUGUCAUUCAACCCAGAAACCAUAGCAAAACGUUGCACACCAGUUUGAGCUUGAACGUGCCCCAGCUUCCUGACGAGUGAAAGGUGACAAUCGUGCUCAUUCUACAGGAUUCACUCUUAAAGCUUUUUUCUGCGGGUUCUUGUGUGUUCAGUAUGGCUACGGUAGGAGUGGAUGUGAUGGAGACCGCAGCUCUAGGGAGAUCCUUCCAGCUGGGGAUGCUGUACGACUGCAGGAAAGAUGCUCUUAUACCAGGUACCUUACCGUAGUGAAAAUACAUUUGGGAUACACUUCAGUGAAAUGCAUCAUUGUUUCAGCUGUUUAAACUGAAACAUCUGUUAUAAUGCUUGAUGUUGCAAACUGGUAUUUCAUAUAAUAUACUGUAAAUAUAUAUAUACUAUAUAUAUAUAUAUAUAUAUAUAUACAUACACA
rnacentral:lncRNA from 1 species